rnacentral:rRNA from 1 species
UGCUUAACACAUGCAAGUCUACUUGAAUUUGGGUUUUAACUUAGGUUUGGGUGGCGGACGGGUGAGUAACGCGUAAAGAACUUGCCUCACAGCUAGGGACAACAUUUGGAAACGAAUGCUAAUACCUAAUAUUAUGAUAAUAGGGCAUCCUAUAAUUAUGAAAGCUAUAAGCGCUGUGAGAGAGCUUUGCGUCCCAUUAGCUAGUUGGAGAGGUAACGGCUCACCAAGGCGAUGAUGGGUAGCCGGCCUGAGAGGGUGAUCGGCCACAAGGGGACUGAGACACGGCCCUUACUCCUACGGGAGGCAGCAGUGGGGAAUAUUGGACAAUGGACCAAGAGUCUGAUCCAGCAAUUCUGUGUGCACGAUGAAGUUUUUCGGAAUGUAAAGUGCUUUCAGUUGGGAAGAAAAAAAUGGCGGUACCAACAGAAGAAGUGACGGCUAAAUACGUGCCAGCAGCCGCGGUAAUACGUAUGUCACGAGCGUUAUCCGGAUUUAUUGGGCGUAAAGCGCGUCUAGGUGGUUAUAUAAGUCUGAUGUGAAAAUGCAGGGCUCAAC